AUACGUAGGGGGCGAGCGUUGUCCGGAAUGAUUGGGCGUAAAGGGCGCGUAGGCGGCGCGGUAAGUCUGGAGUGAAAGUCCUGCUUUCAAGGUGGGAAUUGCUUUGGAUACUGCCGCGCUUGAGUGCAGGAGAGGUUAUCGGAAUUCCCGGUGUAGCGGUGAAAUGCGUAGAGAUUGGGAGGAACACCAGUGGCGAAGGCGACUUACUGGACUGUAACUGACGCUGAGGCGCGAAAGUGUGGGGAGCAAACAGGAUUAUAUACCCUGGUAGUCCUCACUGUAAACGAUGAAUGCUAGGUGUAGGGGGUAUCGACCCCUUCUGUGCCGCAGUCAACACAAUAAGCAUUCCGCCUGGGGAGUACGGCCGCAAGGUUGAAACUCAAAUGAAUUGACGGGG
rnacentral:rRNA from 1 species